ACGGAAGGCAGCAGUGGGGGAUAUUGCACAAUGGGGGAAACCCUGAUGCAGCGACGCCGCGUGAGUGAAGAAGUAUUUCGGUAUGUAAAGCUCUAUCAGCAGGAAAGAUAAUGACGGUACCUGACUAAGAAGCACCGGCUAAAUACGUGCCAGCAGCCGCGGUAAUACGUAUGGUGCAAGCGUUAUCCGGAUUUACUGGGUGUAAAGGGAGCGCAGACGGCAUGGCAAGCCAGAUGUGAAAGGCAGGGGCUCAACUCCUGGACUGCAUUUGGAACUGUCAAGCUAGAGUAUUGGAGAGGUAAGUGGAAUUCCUAGUGUAGCGGUGAAAUGCGUAGAUAUUAGGAGGAACACCAGUGGCGAAGGCGGCUUACUGGACGAUAACUGACGUUGAGGCUCGAAAGCGUGGGGAGCAAACAGGAUUAGAUACCCUGGUA
rnacentral:rRNA from 1 species